rnacentral:rRNA from 1 species
GGCGCAGCCUGAUGCAGCGACGCCGCGUGAGGGAUGACGGCCUUCGGGUUGUAAACCUCUUUCAGUAGGGAAGAAGCGAAAGUGACGGUACCUGCAGAAGAAGCACCGGCUAACUACGUGCCAGCAGCCGCGGUAAUACGUAGGGUGCGAGCGUUAUCCGGAAUUAUUGGGCGUAAAGAGCUCGUAGGCGGUUUGUCGCGUCUGUCGUGAAAGUCCGGGGCUUAACCCCGGAUCUGCGGUGGGUACGGGCAGACUAGAGUGCAGUAGGGGAGACUGGAAUUCCUGGUGUAGCGGUGGAAUGCGCAGAUAUCAGGAGGAACACCGAUGGCGAAGGCAGGUCUCUGGGCUGUAACUGACGCUGAGGAGCGAAAGCAUGGGGAGCGAACAGGAUUAGAUACCCUGGUAGUCCAUGCCGUAAACGUUGGGCACUAGGUGUGGGGACCAUUCCACGGUUUCCGCGCCGCAGCUAACGCAUUAAGUGCCCCGCCUGGGGAGUACGGCCGCAAGGCUAAAACUCAAAGGAAUUGACGGGGGCCCGCACAAGCGGCGGAGCAUGCGGAUUAAUUCGAUGCAACGCGAAGAACCUUACCAAGGCUUGACAUGUUCUCGAUCGCCGUAGAGAUACGGUUUCCCCUUUGGGGCGGGUUCACAGGUGGUGCAUGGUUGUCGUCAGCUCGUGUCGUGAGAUGUUGGGUUAAGUCCCGCAACGAGCGCAACCCUCGUUCCAUGUUGCCAGCACGUAAUGGUGGGGACUCAUGGGAGACUGCCGGGGUCAACUCGGAGGAAGGUGAGGACGACGUCAAAUCAUCAUGCCCCUUAUGUCUUGGGCUUCACGCAUGCUACAAUGGCCGGUACAAUGGGUUGCGAUACUGUGAGGUGGAGCUAAUCCCAAAAAGCCGGUCUCAGUUCGGAUUGGGGUCUGCAACUCGACCCCAUGAAGUCGGAGUCGCUAGUAAUCGCAGAUCAGCAACGCUGCGGUGAAUACGUUCCCGGGCCUUGUACACACCGCCCGUCAAGUCACGAAAGUUGGUAACACCCGAAGCCGGUGGCCUAACCCUUGUGGGGGGAGCCGUCGAAG